UGUUGCGUGUUUUUGCUGGGUUCCUAUCGCCAUAACUUUGACUGAAUGAGUGGGAUAAUGUAAACUUUACUCUCACAUUACUUUGGCUAGAAGUUUGUCCAAGUGGAGCGAUUCGGGAGGUUAAUACAGUUCGUGCAGUCCUGCGGGAGUAUGACGAUGAAGAGCACUUCCAGAACAAGCUGCAUAUAGACUCAUCAACCUGCCUAGCCCUUGAUCAUUUCCUCCACCCUCUGGCCCUCCUGACUCAUCUCCACUGUGUCUCCCUGUGGCAUCCAUGAUAUCAUCCUCCUCUCGCCUGCAGCAGGUCGGGUUAUUCCCUCAGCGGUUUGGAAUUUGACACUCUGAUAAACAAAUGGAGGCGUAACAAGUCUCUCUGGUGAGGGUCCAGAGCCCCGGAGGAUUGGAACAAGACUCUGUCACCUAACACCAAGCACACACUGAUAUCGUCCUGCACUCUGCCAAACAUGCCACCACCUCACCAGCUGCGCUCGGAUCAGCAAGCAUUUUUUAAGCUUCCUAAAUGAGAGCAGCCUGGAGAGAGUCUCUGGCUUGUUAAGAGAAAAAGUGGAUUCAAGCACCAAAAGAACAACUUCAGUCAAACUUUGGUACAGAGGCGGCUAAAAGUUUGAGUGAGCUGGUAAGUGUUCACCGACCUCAAACCAAAGCUGAUCUCAUUUCCCCAAAUGAGUUGGUGAAUGUGGGCAUGAUUACUGUCAAAAAAAUCUGAAAUAUUCUGUUUCCAUCCUCAUCUUCAAUCAGUUUCACCACAGCCUUGAGCUGAAUGAUGUUUGUGGUGGUCUUUUGAUAUUUCAUCACUGAAGUUGGGCUGUGAAAGGGAUGCAGUUUUGGGGUUAUCCUAGGAUUGUUGCAUUUUUUUCAAGGUUAUAUCAGGCCUCACUAAUUUAAAGCUGUUUCACCAAAUGAAA